rfam:Brassica napus, WGS project CCCW01000000 data, contig: 20252
GGAAUAUAAGAACCUGAUUCUUAACUUUUAAUUAAAAAAGCUAAGAACCGGCUCUCAAAUAAGAGUUUUAAGAGACGGUUCUUAACUUUUUUAGUUAAAAGUUAAGAGACGAGUUCUUAUAUUCC